ensembl:snRNA U6atac minor spliceosomal RNA
AUGUUGUAUGAAAGGAGAGGUUAGCACUUCCCUUGUCAAGGAUGGAAGAGGCCCUUGGGCCUAACAACACACCUACAGUUAGGCAUUGUCACCUACUCCGUGGCAUCUAACCACUGUUUUUG